UUAUAAGUAUCUGAGAAAUCGUGAAACAAAAAAAUUGAUUCAGCUGACGAUUCUCACUGGAGAGACAAGUCUAGAUCUCUCUUCUCUUCUCUUCUACAUCGAAGUUUGGUUCGUCACCGGCGGAAGGUGAAACCCUCUACUCCGACUUCAUAAUGCCGUUUAAGACGGUGAUGAUGGAAGUGGAGCCACCGAGUCUGAUACGGUACUUGAUCGGAUCGGCGGUGAUGAUGAUCGGCGUGGUGUUACCGGUUGGUUACAUGAUGUUCCGCAACAAGCGCGUCCCCUCCUCGUCUUCUUACUCUAAACAGACGUAGGUGGGGAAUCCAUGGUUGAUACUAAAUAAUUAUAGUUGCUCCUCUUCGUUAAAGGUUUGUUUAGGCUAUAAAGAGGAAGGAACAAAGUUUUGAUAUAGAGAGAGCCAGAGACGGCGGUUGAAUUCAACUGGAUUGACAAGGAUGAUAUUGAUGACGUAUUGAUAUUGUAAAGCUAUGAGGGAUUCUUGUUUUUACAUGGCUUGUAAGAGAUCAUUAGACAAUGCGACUACUUUUUUAGUACUCUUGUUUUCUUUCUUUAUUAGCUGUUCCACUGUUUAUUAUGUAACACAACAUCUUCUCUUCGGUGGAAAGAUUAUAUAAUAUUGAGCUUCGUUCA